AGGUGCUUACACGCUUUAGCUUUAAGUUCCAUAUGGCGGGCUUAAACUGUUGAGUGCAGGUAUUAAAAUCUUUGAUGGCUAGUAAGUUGUGUUCAGCAUAAAAGGCUUUAGUUAAAGCCUGUAAAUAAAGGCGCAUAAUAAGCAGAUUAGUUUUAUAGCUAUUAAGUAUAAAGGCUGCUUUGAAAGUAAAAUAAGGUAAAUAUUUGGUUCUGGUAUAAUGUUAGCUACAGAGUUUUUUACAUUACACAAUGUAGAAUAAUUUCGUGAUGUGUAAAAGUUUGAUUUACGUGAUAAGCCAAACUUAAACAUCCUAAAAGGAAAAGUUGGCAGCAAGAGCAUAAGUUUUUAAUGAUGACGCGAAGGAAAUCACAACUCAAGUGGGUAGAUCUGGAAAUCAAUGAGUUCUAGCUUGAAACGAAUAAAAAACUAACUAAAUUGAAGCGAAAGAGGGUGCCAGCAGCUGCGGUCACUCCCUCUCUCGAGGAGCUAAUAAGGGUGCAGCUUAGAGGCAGUUAGUCAAAAUGCAUAAUGCAAGACAUACAGCAAGGACUAUGGGCGAAAUCUCAGUCUUGCGGGAGGUCCAAAACUUGCGUAAAGAUGAGUCUGCGAAGUUAUGGGUAUAGACCCGGAUUUGGUACCCGGUUAUUCCAUAAUGUCAAGUAUAACUAUUUUAUUAGAAUUAAUAGUUUGCUAGGGGUACUACGAGCAACUGCUUAAAACUCGAAGAACUUGGCGGUUCCGCACAACCACCCAGAGGCUCUUGGCGCUUAAUCUGAUGGUCCGCGUGAUAUCUUACCUGCCCUAUAGAAAGCAGUGUACUGCCGUCGAAAGCUUAUGAUGUGAGUAAGUGAAAAUAGGCCCGAUCUUGGGGUUUUAAGUAAUUAAUAAUCAUGCCGAGGCUAGGUCAGGUCGAAGUGCUCCUUAUGGGCAAGGGGUUAGCUGAGAGACAAAUAUUUAGACAUAUGAAGAUUUUAGGGAUGAAAUUCUCUUAGUGAAUAUAAGGAUUUGGGAGUAAAAAGAGAGUAACUCGUUUUUUUGAAAAGACGCAACUGCGGUGCGUUCAAAUCGCCCGUCACCCUAGCCGAAAGGAGAGGUAAGUCGUAACAUGGUAAGGGUAGGGGAACUUGCUCUUUUAAUGAAAAAGUAAAAAGUAAGAAGGCAUGCUUAAUUUUUUAGGCUUUACUAGAAAG
rnacentral:rRNA from 1 species